CCUGCAACCACUUUGCAAUCACCCCUUUCCAAAGCAACAGAAAAGAAAAAUGAUAUUCUGGCUUCACUGUAUUUUCUUUGUAGCACUUUUUAGAGGUGUCCAGUCAGAGGUGCAGCUGGUGGAGUCUGGAGGAGAUGUAAGAAGUCCUGGUGAUUCCCUUCGCCUCUCCUGUCAUGCCUCUGGGUUCACCUUCAGCAGCUAUGACAUGAACUGGGUGAGACAAGCACCUGGAAAAGGCUUGGAAUGGGUAGCAUACAUUAGCUCAGGCUCAUCUAGCAUUUACUACUUGGAUAAAGUGAAGGGAAGGUUCAUUGUCACCAGGGACAACCCCAACAAUCUGCUGUAUUUGCAAAUGAACAGCCUGAAGUCGGAGGACACUGCUGUCUAUUACUGUGCAAGAGAAUCCCCAUGGAUAGAACUUGGCAGAAAGAAAUCCAAAGGCAGGAACAGGAUGAUAACCAUUUCUAGCUUGUCAAGUGGGCAACCUGCUGUUUUGUCAGGAACCUUUUCCUCCUUCUGCUUCUCACAAGAGGGCACCACUGAG